rnacentral:rRNA from 1 species
AUGGGGAAGAAGAGGAAACAAGAUCAAUGGAGAGAUGACUCAAGCUCUUCUAAUGUCAAGCGGCGUAGGUCUUGCCACUGCGAGAAUGGGGAGACGAGCAGGCCAAAUGAUGGGAUAUCGCCUCGGGAGGGGUUAUCAGCUAUUGUUCGUGCGGUAACUGAAUUGAAAGACGUCAUGCAGCUUCAAUUGCGCAUGGAGGAAAAAUUCAACAAACGAAUUCAAAAGCUUAAGGAAAAGAGGAAAAAAGACAAGAAAAAGCAUGAAGAGGAUCUCAGAGUACUCAAGGAAGAGCUCGAAUCAAAAUUUGAAGACAUGCAAAAAGAAGUGUGUGGUGAAGUAAAUCAUUACAAGGCAUCUCCAUCUCAGAGAUCACAACUAAGCCAAUCAACAAGAUUUCGACUAGUAAUUGAAAAUAGCGUGAGCAGAACAAUUUACAAAAAGGAAACUAUAGAGACUGUCGAUGGUGGAGGUCACAUAAAAGUUGUCAUGUACGAUGGUGGCAAUCCAAUUGCGUCUGACCACCGUCUUGCUUCAGUAAGAGUUGAGCUAGUGGUCAUUGAAGGAGGGUUCGAUGAAAAGCGGGAUUCAUGGUCUAAAGAGGAGUUUGAGGAAAGGAUAAUAAAACCACGAAGAACAACCACAUUGACAAGUCUAGUGAAAAACGGUGCAUUUAAUCUGAUUGGUGGGAGUUGUGAUCAUGAAGGUGCCAUUAUUAUGGAUAAUUCACAGCAAAGGGAAGUUAAGCUUGGAGUAAGGAUCACAGUGCCUACAGAAACAAGAGUUCUUGAAGGAGUAUCAAAUCCUUUCAAAGUACAGGAAGGCAAGACAAAAAAGUCAGCACCAAACAAAACAGGCAAAAAACUUUCUCAUCCAGUUCCAACGCGAAACUUGGUACAGCCAACCAGCACCCACGCAGCACAACAUGACCGUGGAAAGCAUUCAGGAUUUCCGACUGAUGGUACUGCAGAGGAUAAUCGACUGAGUUAUCCACCAGCUACCGUGCCACCGAUAGUUGAGGGAAAUGGGCACGCCCUAAACUGCAACAGUCAGCAAUCUUCUCAACAAAUUCCAACGCCAAUCUUGUGGCAGCCAACGAGCACCCAUUCAAUGCAACAUGGAUAUUAUCCACCUUUGCCUGCUUUUGGACAAGACCAGUUCACUAGUUUACCUAAUGCAAGUUCUCAAGUUGCAUUUCCAAACCUUUCAGAGUAUGGGUCACUGGAUGGCCAGUGGAAUUCCAUCCCCAGAGGGGAAAUAUUCGUUGAAGAUGUAAAUCAUUCAAAUGUCCAGCUACCAGUUGAAGAGUAUUAUAUAGAUGCGUCAUUUACAUGUGGUCAAGUACUACUCCAAUGGUACAAGCCUCAAGUGGAGCUCAAGGAACACUGGAACUUUCUUGAUCAGCUCAUGCCUCUGUAUAGCACACAAUCAGGGUUUUAUAGAGAAAGUUUCCACAGUACGAGCCUCAUGGAGAAAGCCCAUAAGUUAAUGGGCAGUACAUCAGGCGAUUCUGUUAUGAAGAUAAUCACCAGUCUUCCAAGUCGAGCCACCCAAACUCCUCAGAGGAGAGGCGUUCUCGUUCAGCCCAUUGCGCCAUAUGAUUCACAUGAUGAGCCACCAGUUAAGAAGCAAAGAAAUGCCAAAUAUCAAUUGCGAUUUGUCAAUAGGGUGUGCAAUGAAUACUACACAUGGGAACAAAUUAAAUCAGAGGAUGGAAAUCUUUUAAAGGUAGCUUUGUAUGAUGAGAACAAUCUGGUAGUCACAUCUGGUCCACUGUCUGCAGCUUCUGUGGAGAUCGUACUACUUCAUGGCGAUUUCAAUGCCGAUGGUCAAGAUUAUUGGCCAUCAGAGGAGUUCAGAGCCUGCGUAGUGCAUCCACAAUCUGUAAAAGAACCACCAGCCUUGGGAGGUGAUGGUGUCUUGGCACUGACUGAUGGAGAGGCAGACAUUAGUAAUAUGUAUUUCCGGACUUCCUCUUUCCAUGCCAGAACUGGAAUGUUCAAGAUGGGUCUUGAGAUUAAAAAUGCAAGAGAAGAAAGUGUUCAAGAAGGAAUCACUAGACCAUUUCUUGUGAGAGUUUGCCAAGGGGAAGAAUCAAGCUGCCCCCUGAUCAGACCUUUCAAAUUGUUUGGUAUGGGAACAGAAGACGUCGGCGCAUCAUCGGCGUUGCAUUAUCAGUCGUUGCAGGUGAGAAGUGUGUUUUGGGCGUUGAUGGCAGAGCACCAUCACAGCACGGUCCGGAGGGCUUCAAAUCACUCUUCAGAACAUUACCUCUUGAAGUACGUCCGAGGGAUCGUUAAACUGAAGUGUUUAUUGAUGCGGAGAAGGGACCGUAAAAAACUCUACAUGCAGAAGAGUAAAGAUGCAGAUGAUUAUAACGCCGCAAUUGCCAAGAAGCUUAAGUACUCUUACAUGCAGAAGAAUAAAGACGCAGAUGACUCUGCCAGCGCAUUUGCCAAGGCGCCCUCCUCUCUGAGUGUGAGAGCACCACGUGUAUGA